AUGAGGGAGGGGCGGCAAAACGGCGGUGGUGGAAGCGGCGGUGGUGGUGGUGGUGGAGGUUGUGCAGGACAUGAACACACACAGGCAGGCAGGCAGGCAGGCAGGCAGGCAGGCAACGAUCCGAAUCCAAGCCGGCCGAUUGAACCGAGACAAGACAGGAGACAGGAGUGAGACAGAGCAACAGCAGCAGUCUGCAUGUUGAGAGCAUGCACAGGGCAUCUCCUGACAGAGCUCCGGUCUAACUAUCUAGCUUUGUAGGUAGAUAACUAUCUACAUAGAUAGUUAUCUAUGUAGAUAGUUAUCUACAUAGAUAACUAUCCACAUAGAUAACUAUGUAGAUAGAUAGUAGAUAACUAUCUAUGUAGAUAGAUAACUAUCUACAUAGAUAUCUAUCUAUCUACAUAGAUAGAUAGUUAUCUAUCUAUGUAGAUAACUAUCUAUCUACAUAGAUAGUUAUCUAGCUAGGUAGACACACUACAAUAGGUCAAACCUAUUGUAGGUUUGACCUAUUGUCCUACUUCCUAGGUAGAUAGUUAUCUACCUAGGUAGUUAUCUAGCUAGAUAACUACGUUUGACCUAUUGUAGUGCCCUAGUAAUUUAUGCUAAAUGAGCCUAAAUUGAUAGGCCAACUACUUCUACGAAGGUUCACAACUUUUCCAUGGUUACACAUUAAUUUUACAUUUGCAGAUCUAUAGAUUACCGUCUGUUCUUUAGCUUCUUUAGAUUGUAGGAUGUUGAGUUGCUUGUUGAGAUGAUUUAGCUUACUUCAUGUUGCAAAAAUGGUUCUGUUUCAUUCAUUUAUUAACAUAACAGUUGCAGAUUGGAUUGAGAUCUGACUUCAUCUGCAUCGCAUUUGAAUUUGCCUUAACUUCCUAUUAGGUUAGGAUCAAUGAGUCAAAUGGAUAAGAAAACGUGAUCAGUAAAAUAAACCUCCAUAUUUAUUUUGUUUUUGGAAAAUCUCUACUUCCAAGUCCAUUAAAAAAUUCUUCUUUUUUAGUUCAUGUAAACUUCACAGCAGCUGUGUUUGAGAAAUUAUCAGGCAAUAAAAAAAGAAAUCAGUUUACAGAGUCAAUGAAAAAGGAAAUAAAUGAUGCAGAUGCAGUUUUUCUUAAACAGAAGCAGCAGCAGUUAUUGUUAGGAGGUUGUUGUUUUUUUUCGGCAUAAAAAAACCAGAUUGAACACAACAUUAUGUUACAAGUUUUCACACCCUUUAAAGUUUUUCACAACAUGUCAUUUUACCAGCACAUUCUUUGAAUGUAUUUUUGUGCAAUUUUGUGUGAUAAGCAGAUAAAUAUGAAGUGGAAAGAAAAUUAAAUAAGGUUUUCUUUUCUUUUUUUUUGUAUAAUUAAAAAAAAAAAAACUAAAUGCAUCCAGCCAUUUUGCCCAGCUGAAAUGUUACCAUGGGGCAUUAAAGAAUCGCUCAAAUAUACAUGAAAGAAUAUUUGGUAACACUCCAGGUAUGUUUUUGAUGAGGGAACAACAUUAUAACAUAAUGGAAAGUCGACUUUACAUAACAUAACAUAACAUAACCCCUUUAUAAAAAAUCCCUGUGAAAUACAGUGAAGUGAAAAAGUUCAAGGAGUACGAAGACUUUUGAAAGCCACUGCAAAUUGUAUUCAUUGCAUGUUAACAUCUUCACAUACAGACAUUUUAAAUCAGGCACAAACCGUAAUAUUAAUACUACUACUAGUAAUAAUAAUAAUAACAAUAACGGAAGGUUUUAUUAAAUAUCAAAGUAUAUGCAUGAAUGGAAGUGGCACAUACUGAUGAUAAUGAUUUUCCAUCUGUAUGGAUUCACACUUUAAAAACAGGUUAAACUUGAAAUCUGCAUUCAGUGCAAAGUAAACAAGCAGGUGAAAGCAGGUGGGUAGUUAACGCAGCGGACCAAUCGGCUGGCACCGGUUCUCAGGGGGAGCAACUAAGGGAAAUGUCGCGUCAGCAGCUGCGUUUCCGUUACAAAUGUGCGCAAAACUUUGUCAAUGUUUGGCUAGUGUCAAAAAACAUAAUUUCGCAAUUGCAGUGUUUAAAUUAAAUAAGAAAUCCAACUAAAAUCCAUUUGGCACUUGUUGCCAAAAUGACGGAAAUCAGGUCGACAUCUCAGUUAUAAACAAAAAAUAUGCACCAGAUGUUUAGAUCCAUAUUUUUCAUUCACUGUCUGAAGGUAAAGUUAAUUAACCGAUUAUUUUUAGUUACUAAAUUAAAAAUCGGAGAAAUUUUUUAUUUUCGUUCCUCAUUUUCAGGAAAAAAAUGUUUCCCCAACAUUUUAGGCGUCCUUCCUCAAACUUUCCACAACAGUUUCCUAUAAUUUUGGGUUAUAAUUAAAUAACAAUAAAACUGGUGGAAGUGAAUCUCUCCUCCACACCUUUUCAACUUUGCCCACAAAUUCUCAAUGGGACAAAGAUCAAAACAAGAGAAAAGCUGCUUCUGUUUUGAUGGCGCUUGCAACCAAAUAGUUCAAUUUCUGUUUCAUAAGACGACCAGACCGGUGUUAAAAUUUGAGCGUUUUUUUUCUCUGAGUGGAUUUUCAAAUUGUAAUUUGACUUUUUAUGCCUAGUUAUUACUAGUAAGUACUAGAGAGAAAAUUUCUUCAUGUUAUUGCUACGUACAGGUUAAAGUUUGAGCAUUGUUUGAUAUUUAUUUGCCUUAUCAGGCAAUAAAAAAAAUCUCUUCUCUUCAGCAAUAUUAAUGUGUGACAAAGGGCUAUGAUGUCCCUAAUUGGAGUUAAAAUUUUAAUAUUGUUCAGAAAAAAUAUAAAUGUGUCUGUCAACAUGUAUUUCUAUAGCUUAGAGCAUCAGAUUUGCUUGUAAGAUGUAUCAGUACCUUUAAAAAAAAUAAAAUAAAAU